rnacentral:lncRNA from 1 species
CGCACAACAUGCACCCUUCCAUCCACCAGAAAAAAGCUCUUCUCCUAUACUAGGAGAAAGCAACAAAAUUUUUGCUAGGAAAAUACUCCAUCCAUUUUUUCAAAUUGAUCUUUCUCUCAGUAUCCUUUAGAGAGACAUGACCAAAAAAAACUUGGUAGCCAUGUGUCAAAAUAUUCUAAGAAAGAAAGAUCAUGCAAUAAAAGGAGUAUAGUUUAGUGAUAGGAUCCAUUCCACACACUUGCACGUCUCAGUCUAGCUUCUGCCUUUGGUCUUAACUUAGUUUGGUUUUUGAUUUAUCCCCAUACAAGAAGCAAGUAUGCCCACCUUCCACACCUACCGAAAAUCCACAUAAAGCCUUAGCAAUAGGUUGUGAGAAAAGCAAAGCCUUUGGUAAGGUACAUUAUCCACUUGAGAGAUUGAGAGAAAUCAAUUGAGGAACCUAGUUUUCUUGUGAAAAAUUUGAAAAACCUCCGGUAUGAAACUCGCUAAGAAUAAGAAAGUGGUGCUCUAUAUCUAACCGUUCUGUGUCUCAACUGCCCAAGACAAAGGAAAAGCCAAAAGCCCCAUGAAGAACUAAGGUAAAUGGGUAAGUCUUCAUAGCUAAAUUUUCCAUACUUAUGAGAAAUAAUUUGUUGCGUACAUGGUACUCUUGAAAUGUUGACAUUGCAGCAACUCCUGAUCCACCAAGACUAAGUUUAAUUAUUUGCUCAGGACGAGCAAAGGUUAAGCUUGGGGGAUCUUGUUGACGGUGGAUAAGCUAUAAAAUCCACACAUGAAAACACCGUCAAUAGGCUAGAAAUAGUGGAAGAAUGGCAUAGCAUAGGCAUCUUUUAUCACUAAGAGGUUCCACUUGUGCUCUAAUAUUUGGAUGCAGGAACACUUACAUUUGGGAGAAAAUGAGCCCCUGGACCCACCAAGGCCCGGUCGGCCGACCUAUACUUGGGGUGGUCCAGGUGCUGGCUCAGUUCUAGGAUCCUAAGACAACACAUCUAAGUCCAUCUCCACCCUGAGAUCACACUUGUGUUUCUGUUCAAGGGUGAAAGAUGGAGGUACAAGAAUCCAUGGACCCACCAGAAGAACC